AAAAAAAAAAAAAAAAAAAUAUUAAGUGAGCCUAAAAGGAGAAUGGCGAAAGGGGAUCCGGUACUCAUUCCGGAACCUGGACAUGAGGAGUAGUGUUGCUUUUUAUGCAUCACCUAGCCGCAAGGCAUUUACCAACCUGGAGAAUCCAACCAGAGAGCCGGGAAGAGUUGUCUUUUCUGCUUAAGGGAUAGAGGGCCUUGUGAACUGGGUCGGUCAGAGAGAGGGUCUUUGUCCCGAAUAGCGCCGCGGUUCUUGCGGAGUCCAGCUCCUCUGGUGUGGAACUUGAAAAUCCAGGGGUAAGAAUGAAAUACCUUCAUGCCAGUUCGUACCCAUAUCCGCA
rnacentral:rRNA from 1 species